rnacentral:lncRNA from 1 species
GGCCGGUGGGUGGCGCGGAGGGCGCAGGCCUCCCGCGCGGCCGCGGCGCGGUGGGUGUGCGAAGGGCCUCCUCGGGCCUGCGGCGGGCCUGGCGCGCGCUCGGGGGUCGCCGGGCCCGCGGGGGCGAGCUGAAAACAAGGAUGGAACAGGCAUCGGGACCUUUCUGUGUGUGUGUGUGCACAGAUGUUACACACACAUACGUUACACACACAGACGUUACACAAAUCCCCAUAUGUUGCCGGCGCUCCCUCGCCCGGAGAGAAGCGAGGCCGGUGUGGACCUCUGAGCCGAGUCCUCCUUACGGUUUUCCUAGACUGGCUCUUUAUGUGGCAUCUGGGAUACAACAGCCUCAGGAAAGGUCUCUGUUAGUCCUUGACCACACCUGUGCCUGA